UCAAUCGUUCGUCAGAUUCUGACGAAUGGAUAUUCUCGUUCACUUUCGUGACAUUUAUAUUUGUGUACUAUCGUGUACUAGAAGUCAGUUCCCGUUUUAUCAUUAUUGGAAUCGAUUGGAAUGGCUCUUAGCUGAAGCUUCUCUCUUCUCUGAAGCUUAUUCUGAAGACUGAACAACAAGGGAAGAGGUAUAAAGCUUUGUCAAGCUUGUUAAGGUCAGAUAUUUUUGUGUGGGCCCUAUGGCCGGCUAUGCUAUCAAGUCUUGUUCAUGUUUGGCAAGAAUGUAGGUAGACUAUAGUUUCAUCAUUAAUAUGGUGGAUCAAGUGAAGAGUGUGAGCUAGAGAACUUGGUGCUGCCAUCAUCAGCUCGUCGACAAUGACACUAUAACCGAGAAAUUUAAUAUGUAUAGAUCUACACGUAUUUAAAAUGUCUACUUCUCUGUACAGGAGCAAUGGCUAAUAUCCAGCUAUCCCAACAGUGCUCCUCUUGGCUAUACUAACGGACGAGACUGGACAGUUUGAGACACAGGACUGGAGUAUGACCUGCUCAUUCGAGCGUUGCUGGGUAGCUCAGAGACAUCAAGAGAAUCUAUAUUUUCUCAAGCAAUGAGUUACGAGUUGGGGCCUAGAAUCAGAGAAGUCCAGCAGCCUGCUAAAUCUUUUUGAAACGUAAUUUGAAGGCAUUCAAUCAUCCUGAAGUUUCCCUGGGUCACUGUAAUUGUGCUGCAGCACAACUGGCAACUCCCCAGGCCUUUGUGAAGCAGCUCCCUAUGUGCAUCUUUUGUGUACUCACUCUGUGCAUUUUCUGUGUACAAAUUUCCAUUAUUGAUUUAUUAAAUAUUUUUGCCGACCACAAA